rnacentral:lncRNA from 1 species
AUUUGGAAAACAAGUAAAAUGACAAAACAAAUACAACUAUAUUAGUAAAGUGAAUGGAUUAAACCAUCCAACCAAAGGCAGAGAUCAUCAGAUCCCAGUUUUCAAAACAGGAUCCAACUCAGAGUUCCCUGGUAACCUAGCGGUUAAGGAUCAGGGGUUGUCACUGCUGUAGCUUGUGUCACUGCUGUGGCACGAGUUUGAUCCCUAGCCUAGGAACUUCCACAUGUUGUGGGUGUGGCCAGAAAAAGAAAAGAAAUUGGAGCCCUCAUAUAUUGCUUGUGGGAAUGUGAAAUGGUAUAGCCACUUUGGAAGACAACUUGGCAGCUCCCCAGAAGGCUAAAAAAAAAAAAAGAGGUACCAUGGGAUACAGUAAUUCCACUCACAGUUAUAUACCCAAGAGAAAUUAAAGCACAUGCCCUCACAAAAACUUGCACACGAAUAUGCAUAGCGGCAUUAUUCUCAGUAGCCACAAAGUGGAAGCAACCCAAAUGUCUAUCAACUGAUCACGGACAAGUAUGGUCCAUGUAUACAAUGGAAUAUUACUCGGCAAUGGAAAGGAAUGAAGUACAGAUACAUGGUCCAACAUGGAUAAAGCUUGAAAACAUGCUAAGCGAAAGGCCAGACACAAAGGACUACCUAGAGGAGAGGUCCAGAAGAGGCAAAUUCAUAGAGGAAAAAGUGUAGAUGAGAUGUUGCCUAGGGCUGGAGGAUGGAUGAUGGUAGGAAAUAAGGGUGAAAGCCGAAGGGUAUAGGGUUUCUUUUGGAGUGAUAAAUUGUUCUAAAAUUAUUAUUUUUAUUAUUAUUUGGUUGCUCUGUGGCACAUGGAAGUUUCCGGGCCAAGGAAAGAUCUGAGCCGCAGUUGUGACCUGUGCCAUAGCUGCAACCCUGCCAGAUCCUUAAUCUACUGUGCCCCAUGGGGAUCAAACAUGUGACCCAGCACUCCAGAGAUGCCUCUGAUCCCAUUGUGCCACAGCAGAAACUCUUAAAAUGUUCCCAAAUUGAUUGCAGUGAUGAUUGCCCAACUCUAUGAAUAUACCAAACUAUUGAGUCGCACACCUUAAACUGGUGAAUUUAUGGUGCGUGAAUUAUAUCUCAAUAAAGCUGCUGCCCACCCCGCCACCAAACAAACAGGAAUUUGAGGUCCCUGCUGGGUGGGACCAGAGGACAUCUGGUCUCUCAAGAUAGUCCCAGUUGUGGUUUUGGCCCCCUGGCCUCCAACCCCUUGUCAUCUGAGCCCCUCUCUUCAUAUUACCUGGAAGGAACUGCUGCUCUUCCUCCCUCAGCCCCUAAGACCUCGUUUAUCUCAAAACUUCGGGGUGGGGCUGUGGGGCUGGGUGAGAUGAGGCCCCUGGCCAGAGUGGCCGUGGCCAUGGCAAGUCUUGGCCCAGACUCCUGCCAGAUUAUCCCUCUGGCCAGCCUUCCUGGAAAGGCAUGCAUGAGCUCAGAGCCUGACUGCAAAGGGAGCCAAGAGAAUGGCGGAAGGGUGCUGGGCUAACCCAAGGCAGGGGCUCUGGGCAAGGGAAGGCAAUGCCCCCCUGCUCAUCCAGCCCCUCAGAACCACAGACAGAGUUGGGCCAGGCCUUGCCUUUAUUAGGGUAGGAAUCCCUGGGCCCCAAACCAGCAACAGAAGGGUAGGGGCCAAAGGCUCCUCUGAGACCCAGUCCCCCAUCCAAUCCUUGGAUUUUGCAAUGGGAUUGAGGUGGUGGGAGGGGAGUCCCCUGAGUGUGCCCAUGUGUGAUACCUGCCAAGCAACCCUCAUGGCCAUACCAUGGGAUUAGAGGAGGGGAGGGGCAGAGCUGGCAAAACUGACCUGCCCGUGGGGUGUUCCCAGCCCAGUGAGAAAGGGAGAGCGCGCCUGCGUCUUGCAGCUAAGUGAAGACCCAGCGCUGCGGGGGGAAGGGCCAGAGAAGCAGAAGUUCCCAGUGUGCAAAAAAGCCAUGGGCGGUGGGAAGGAACAGGGUUAGGAGUCAGAGCUGGGGUGAAGCGCCAGUUCCUCUGUUCUCCAGCUGACAGAUGGGACCAUCGGAGCACCUCCCUCCUGGAGCUGUUGUCAGCAUGAAUUCUGAUAAUCCACGUGACCCCUGGCCUGUGGCUGGCUCCCACGGAGUACUCCCAGCACAGCGAUUGUCACUGCCGUUUGGGGGCGGGGCCUGGAGCCGAGGCUGCCACCUAGGGCUGUGUGCUGGACAGCUCUAGGGGGCCUCAUUCACAUCAUAGCCUUUGUGGAUCUACUACAGAACUUUCCCAGCCAAUGGAAGGACGUAUGCUGUCUGGAGAAGCUGCGCUUUUCACUCAUUUGCACAAAAUUGCCUUAUAGUCUGGCUGUGCAUCGCAGGGUACUGUAGCCUCUCGCUACAUAGGGUCAUUUCUAUUAAAAUGAAUGAGAAUUAAAGAUAAUUAAAAAUUCAGAUCCUCAGUUGCACGAACCAUAUUACAGGGACUCGCUGGCCUCGUGGGACUGUGGUAUUGGACGGGGCAGAUCUAGAUCAUGCCCAUCAUCGCAGAAAGUUCUUAGACGGUGCUGCUCUAAGGGGUGGUGCUGCCCAGAACCACCAGAGGAGGCUUUGUGGAGGCUUGAGAGCAGGUUGUGAGGAAUGGGAAGAAGAAAUGGGUGGGAAAAAAGAGGAAAUUGCAGGCAGGAAGCCACACAUAUCGCCUCUCCUUUGGCCCCACUCUCUUAGCUUCUCCAAGCCCUAAGGGGAUUCCUAGGAGUCAGUCUCUGGGGAAAAGAAAGUCAGAAAAGAGAUUGAGGAGGGAGUUCCCACUGUGGCUCAGAGGUAACGAACCCGACUAGCAUCCAUGAGGAUGCAGAUUCGUUCCAUGGCCUCGCUCAGAGGGUUAAGGAUCUGGCAUUGCCGUGAGCUGUGGUGUAGGUCUCAGACGUGGCUGAGAUCCCACGUGGCUGAGGUUGAGGUGUAGGCCAGAGGCUACAGUUCCGAUUCGACCCCUAGCCUCAGGAGUCUCCAUAUGCCGCGGUGUGGCCCUAAAAAGAC